UAGGGAAUCUUCCGCAAUGGACGCAAGUCUGACGGAGCAACGCCGCGUGAGUGAAGAAGGAUUUCGGUUCGUAAAACUCUGUUGUUAGAGAAGAACAGCGCAUAGAGUAACUGUUAUGCGUGUGACGGUAUCUAACCAGAAAGCCACGGCUAACUACGUGCCAGCAGCCGCGGUAAUACGUAGGUGGCAAGCGUUGUCCGGAUUUAUUGGGCGUAAAGCGAGCGCAGGCGGUCAAUUAAGUCUGAUGUGAAAGCCCCCGGCUCAACCGGGGAGGGUCAUUGGAAACUGGUUGACUUGAGUGCAGAAGAGGAGAGUGGAAUUACAUGUGUAGCGGUGAAAUGCGUAGAUAUAUGGAGGAACACCAGUGGCGAAGGCGACUCUCUGGUCUGUAACUGACGCUGAGGCUCGAAAGCGUGGGUAGCAAACAGG
rnacentral:rRNA from 1 species